UACAGAGGUCCCAAGCGUUGUUCGGAUUCAUUGGGCGUAAAGGGUGCGUAGGCGGGGCUUUAAGUCAGGGGUGAAAUCCUGGAGCUCAACUCCAGAACUGCCCUUGAUACUGAAGGUCUUGAGUUCGGGAGAGGUGAGUGGAACUGCGAGUGUAGAGGUGAAAUUCGUAGAUAUUCGCAAGAACACCAGUGGCGAAGGCGGCUCACUGGCCCGAUACUGACGCUGAUGCACGAAAGCGUGGGGAGCAAACAGG
rnacentral:rRNA from 1 species